UAAUUUGUGCUAAUACACCCAACGAUAUUGAGGUCUGAGACCAACAAGGGACACAGGCAAAAACUGAAAUGAAUAUUGCGAUGCAGUACUGCCCUAUACCUUCACAACUCUGUCCUCUGCUGAUAGACAGGGACUUGAUGGGGACACUGAAGGUGACAAAGUCUGGAACGAGAGCAUCAAUGAUCAUACAGACACAUCCGAGAACCUCAUCAGGGAGGUCUCUGCCGAAAUGAGGGAAGCGCUCAUCAGUUCAAUACCCUGAAGGCGCCUCAAUGCCGACGUCGGGUCCCAAGCGGACGUCAUGUGAAACUCGGGCAGGAGACAAGGUCACUGCAGUCUUCACCGUCCUUUCUAGCCUUGUCAAAGCCAGCCCACACUCCUGCCUCUGUCAACGAGGUCUGCCAAGGCCAUGGGUAAAUAAGUUCCAGACAUAUAAUUUCAGAUGGGUUGUAUAACAGGUUCCCAGCUUUCAGAUGAUGUACACCACUUCUAUGUGACGUCUACUGUUGACGUGCUAUCUCCCUCCAAAGACCCCCUUUACCCCCCCCAAAAAAGACAAAACCUCCAUCGUAGCCCAGAAGUGGUGGUGCCAGAUGCAUCCCUGUAUGGACGGAGAGGAGUGUAAGGUCCUGCCUGACCUGACUGGCUGGUCCUGCAGCACUGGCAACAAAGUCAAAACCACCAAGGGGCGGCUGUAGCUCAGUGGAUGGAGCACGGCGCCUUUUAUCCAUAAGGUUGGGGGUUCGAUCCUUGACUCCUGCUGUCUGCAUGUUGAAGUGUCCUUGUGUGAGACACUGAACCCCAAGUUGUUCGCGGGCGCUUUACAGCAGCCCACAGCUUCUAAAUGCUUAGGAUGGGUUAAAUGCAGAUGUCAAAUUUCA